rnacentral:rRNA from 1 species
AACGAACGCUGGCGGCAUGCCUAACACAUGCAAGUCGAACGAGACCUUCGGGUCUAGUGGCGCACGGGUGCGUAACGCGUGGGAACCUGCCCUUAGGUUCGGAAUAACUCCCCGAAAGGGGUGCUAAUACCGGAUAAUGUCUUCGGACCAAAGAUUUAUCGCCUUUGGAUGGGCCCGCGUUGGAUUAGCUAGUUGGUAGGGUAAAAGCCUACCAAGGCGACGAUCCAUAGCUGGUCUGAGAGGAUGAUCAGCCACACUGGGACUGAGACACGGCCCAGACUCCUACGGGAGGCAGCAGUGGGGAAUAUUGGACAAUGGGCGAAAGCCUGAUCCAGCAAUGCCGCGUGAGUGAUGAAGGCCUUAGGGUUGUAAAGCUCCUUUACCCGGGAUGAUAAUGACAGUACCGGGAGAAUAAGCUCCGCUAACUCCGUG